GUUCUUUCCACAGUAUAUAUACUAACACCGGAACAAAACAGAGAUGAAUAACAUGGCCCCUGAACAAGGAAAACACCCAAAUUCAUGAAGCAUUCCAUAUUUUU
ensembl:snRNA LOC120094405 U6 spliceosomal RNA